rnacentral:rRNA from 1 species
CAGUCGCCGCGGUAAUACAGAGGGUGCGAGCGUUAAUCGGAUUUACUGGGCGUAAAGCGUGCGUAGGCGGCUUUUUAAGUCGGAUGUGAAAUCCCUGAGCUUAACUUAGGAAUUGCAUUCGAUACUGGGAAGCUAGAGUAUGGGAGUGGAUGGUAGAAUUCCAGGUGUAGCGGUGAAAUGCGUAGAGAUCUGGAGGAAUACCGAUGGCGAAGGCAGCCAUCUGGCCUAAUACUGACGCUGAGGUACGAAAGCAUGGGGAGCAAACAGGAUUAGAUACCCCAGUAGUCCCUGUCUCUUAUAC